GGACUUCGGUUCUAGCGGCGGACGGGUGAGUAACGCGUGGGAAUGUGCCCUUCUCUACGGAAUAGCCCUGGGAAACUGGGAGUAAUACCGUAUACGCCCUAUUGGGGAAAGAUUUAUCGGAGAAGGAUCAGCCCGCGUUGGAUUAGGUAGUUGGUGGGGUAAUGGCCUACCAAGCCGACGAUCCAUAGCUGGUUUGAGAGGAUGAUCAGCCACACUGGGACUGAGACACGGCCCAGACUCCUACGGGAGGCAGCAGUGGGGAAUCUUAGACAAUGGGGGCAACCCUGAUCUAGCCAUGCCGCGUGAGUGAUGAAGGCCUUAGGGUUGUAAAGCUCUUUCAGCUGGGAAGAUAAUGACGGUACCAGCAGAAGAAGCCCCGGCUAACUCCGUGCCAGCAGCCGCGGUAAUACGGAGGGGGCUAGCGUUGUUCGGAAUUACUGGGCGUAAAGCGCACGUAGGCGGACCGGAAAGUCAGAGGUGAAAUCCCAGGGCUCAACCUUGGAACUGCCUUUGAAACUAUCGGUCUGGAGUUCGAGAGAGGUGAGUGGAAUUCCGAGUGUAGAGGUGAAAUUCGUAGAUAUUCGGAGGAACACCAGUGGCGAAGGCGGCUCACUGGCUCGAUACUGACGCUGAGGUGCGAAAGCGUGGGGAGC
rnacentral:rRNA from 1 species